UAGGUUCAUUUGUUUCUCAUUCUUCCUCUCAGCCGCACCUCUCAAUCUCCCUCACAUCUAACCUCUCAGCUCCUUCUCUCUCCCUCUCUCUGUCUCACCCUUUUCUCUUGCAGGUGGCUGGCGCGGGAGGCUCGAUGGAGACUGCGACGGGGCUCUACGCGAACGAGACCCCAAAACUUCGGGUGAGCCUUCUCCUUGACGUGAACCAGACCCCAAAAGCUUUAGGCUACCCUUUUCCCUACGCGAACCAGGCCCCAAAAGCUUCAGGCCACCCUUCUCCUUGCGCGAACCAGGCUCGUUCAGGCCACCCUUUAACAACAAAACUGCCUGUGAACACAACUGUCGACGCCGAACCUUGGGCGACCGAGAGAGAUUCUAGUUCAUAAGAAUAUAAGAGUUGAAGGAAAAUCAUCCCGAAUCUGCUCUUGUGCUGGAUAUGAAUGAAGAUAGACUUCCUAACACAACCGAUUUGGCAUACAAAAGGGUUCCUGUACAUAAUAUAGAAGUGGGAUCCUAUGUUUUGGUUGGAGCUAGUGAGGUAUGUGAUGCUAAUUUUAUUCAUUUCAGUUUUGUUUGUUGGAAUAGUAAGCUAGAAUGUUCAAAUUCUGAGGUGAAAGGAGUAUAAUAUAGAAUUGAUUGUUGUUUUCUUAGGAUUUAUAUUCUCUGAACCUAGUGAAAGUCUAGCUAUUGAUCAAUUAACUUUAAAUGCAUGUUAUGUUCUGAAACUUUUCACAUUAAUGUGAGUUCUUGACUUGCACUACUCUGUCUCUUAACACUAAAAAAUCUAUCCAUGUGCCUGGACUAUCAUGUGGAUGGCUUUUUGCUGCUUGAAUGAUGGUCUGAAAACAAUUUCAAGACUGAAAAUGUUGCCAAUGUGAUGGACUAUCAAAUGAAUGGGUUUAUCUAUCUUUAAGAAUUAUGGUGUGAAAAUAUUAAUCCUCUGUUGUAAUAGAUGUCAAGUGGUUACUCAUCAAUAUUGUGAUUUUUGGAUGAUGUUAUUGAAAAAGAAAGAAAAAUACACAAACACACAUACGUAUAUAAAUAUAUAUAUAUAUACAUAUUUAUAGCUUUCUGAAUUCAUUUAGCGAUGGUGAGCAAUACAGCAAGGUUGUCGUAGUCUUGUCUGUAGCUAUUGCUCUCAUUGGUCCAUUUCUCUUCAAGUGGCCAUUCUUUGGAACAUCAGGUAGUAUUUAGUUUAUACAGUGCCCUCAUUAACUCUAAUACUAUCUAUUACAUUCUCUUGACGUACCCCAUUAUGGGAUUUAAAAUUUUAUGAAACACCUACUCUUACCUUAAAAUGGUCCUUUUUUAUUUGUUGGUUUCAAUCAAAGCUCAGCUUUAACAUUUUGAAGAAAAAGAAAAAUUGCAACAUCUCUAAUUUUCAGUACUUUCAAAAAAUUGCUUCUUGUUGUUCAUAUAUAAUACAUAUUACAUGCAUAUAUAUACUGUAAAGAAAUGUUGAGUUGGUCUUCCAACUAGAAGGUGUCAAGAUAAAAAAUAUUCAAAUACUUGAUCUGUUACAUGUAUAUUCUUUCUUUUUCUUGUUUUUUAAUGGUUGACUUUCGAGUUAGCUUGUGAAUUCCUAUUCAUGCAGCUCUUUUUUUUCCUUCCUAAUUUGCACUGUCAGGGAAAUUUUCAUCUUCUGUUUUUUAAUGGUUGACUUUCGACUACAAUUGAACCAAUUUAUGGACAUCAGGCUGGAAACAAUAACUCAAAUUUGACUACCUGCUGUAUCCCGAACUGUGAGAAAGAAGCUCUUGCAGUCGCAGCUGCCAUGGAGAAGGGUACCACUCAUCCUAUCGGAAGGUAGCAUCACUGGACCAUAGAAUUUACUUUUCACAGUAGCUUUUUGGUCUGUAAUCUUUAAAUUAUUUACUCAUAUUGGUUGUAUCACUACUGCCUUAUCAUUUCUUAACUCGAUUUUCUAAUCCAUGCUCUGUGAGGUUGCAUUGGUUGAGAGAAAUGAAUAAACAAGAUCUCCAUAAUACACGAUCUCAACAAGAAUCCAUAGAGAAUUUUCAUCUUCUGUGGCUGAAAGUGAAUUAGGCUUAUUGAGGCAAAGGCAUACAGUCUCCGGUCUGAGGGAAGGGUUCUCCAGACUGGAUAAUUCUGUUUGUGCUCAAGCAAGCAACAGUCUUUCUGAUACAUCUAACGAGGAUAAUAUUUCAAAUCGAAAUGGAGAACCUCAAGAAAAUAACUUAUAUGCAUCAACGAUUUGGAAUUGUAUGUGUAUGUCUCUUCGACACUUCUUGGAUUUUGGUUCUUUUACAUAUGAUGUUUAUGUUGCUAAUCUUUUUUUCCUAUAUAGGAGUUUCAUAUUGUCGGUUGGUUGCCUUUUAGGUAUAUUGUUAUGAUUCAUUUUUAUUAAAUCCCCAAUGUUCUGAAGGAUUAAUGAUGGUGCAUUGUUCUGAGGCCCUUUGAUUGUUAUUUGCAAUGUGUAUUAGUAUAUGGCUUAGAUUUAAUAUGGUUUAUGUGUUUAGUAUUUGCAAUGUGUGUUUAGUCUUUAAGUGUGUUAAGAAUUUUGUGUAUUUUUCUCUGUUUGCUUGUAUGGUCUAGUUUGGUUUACAACUUGCUUUUCAGCUUGCUAUUUAUUUGUAUGGUUUGUUCUAUGUGCAUUCAAGCAUGAUCUGUUCAUUCAUACUUUGCCUUUGUGUUUAGUUCUUUAGUGUUUCAUAUCACCAUAUUUUUGUAUUCUGAUUUAUUUUUAGGCAAUUUGUUGUGGUAGGUGUCAUUGUUGCUUUGAAUUAUUUUGGCCUAUGAUGUUCAAGAAUAAAUAUACUUAUUUUAUGUUGGUGAUUAUGACACUUGAUGUGCUCAUAUUUUAUUUUUAUUUUUAAUAUAUGUUGGUAUCUCAAGUGUCGUAAAUGCCCAUAAUAAUAAGUUAUAUAUUUUCUGAAAUCCUUAUGAUGAUUAAAUUGGAGA